AUCUGGGCGGCGGUAUUCAGGAUGAGUGGCGUGCUCUCGCGGCGCGUCGCUCGUUUGAUAUUUCCGUCGCCGAUCAACCGCAGACGUCGCGACCUGUUCGCGGUCGGUCCUUGCUCGGAGGAGCCGCGAUCGAGUUUGUUGCGUGCGCGUUUCGGCGUGUCACGCGGCAAAGACGCGGAUCUCUGGCUGGCCGUCGGACAGUAUGCUCAACGGUGUCCGGUGUCGUCGUCUCGUACGCGCGCGCACCGGUACCGGUCAGCGACGAAUUCUUCGGGCCUCUUUCCGACCCGUCUUGAAACACGGACCAAGGAGUCUAACAUGCGCGCGAGUCGCGGGGUGUCGAGCGUACCUCGGUACGUUCGUUACGUUGCGAAACCCGUACAUGUCGAAGGCGUAAUGAAAGUGAAUAGGGAAGAUGGUGUUCCGAGUACACGUUCCGCGAUCGUUGGUAUCGCGGCCGGACGCCCGCAUUCCCGGGGCGUCUCAACGGCCCGUCGCUGAUGCGGACGGCCGUCUUUCGGGGCGGCUGUCGGUCGGCGACGAACCGA
rnacentral:rRNA from 1 species